GGGAGCUCCGCCGGUGCCUGCUCGGCUGCUGUCAGUGUGCCUUCGGCCUCGUGUUGAGCUUUGUGCUUAGGAACGGGGAAACCUCGCUCAGAUGCUCAAUGCCGUCCUUCUCCCUUGCCCCUGAACUACAGCUCAGAGCUAACAAAACUGUAUUCCUGGAUGAAAUUUUAACAGAUCCCCAGCAUAAAGUUUCAGCUCGGGGCAAUGUGGAGGUGCCGCAGAUAAACAAGAAGAACAAUUCUGCGUAUUGAACUCUCAAACGAAAGUUUACUUUCCCUCUUCUCCCUGUCUACCUGUGCUCUGAGGCAACAAACACUGCUUCAGUGGCAAGAAAAAGGAGCAGAACAGAACUGAACAUUUCCGUGCUUUCAGAAGGAAGAAAAAAAGUCAGGAGUUUAUCUUUCAAGGAUGACUGCUCUUCAAGUACACCAGGUGGGAUCCAAUCAUGCGCUGCAUCUGAAGUGCACUUGAGAUAAAUUCAGGAUAGGUUCAUGCUUGGCCUCAGCUCUCACCAGAUCUGAAAAAUUCCAGAAGAAAUGAUACCAACAAGAUAAAAGGAGGAAAAAAAACAAAAAUACAAAAAUACUUUGUAUUUUCCUGUCCACCUUAAAACUAAGGCAAGUAAUUAAAAAAUGUCAAAGAAACUACACUUUUUUUUUUUUUUUUAGAUUCAGGAUUUUGAAUAAUUAAAUCAAAUAACCCAAACUCCUGAACAGUAGCUGGGAUGUGAGGGGACACAGGUAGACAGGGUGCUUUGGCAGCUAAUGAUUUCAGAAAGGAAAAAAAAGGGGACAGUUAAAGCAAAAUGAGUUUCCUUCACCAGUUAUAUAAGGACAAGUAUGUAGGUUGCUCUGAAAGUAAUGCCUCCUCUUUAUUUCCAUGGGAACAACAGCAGCUACAAAAAGUGCAGCAAUGCUAUUUGAUGAAGUAAAUUCUCAGCUACAAAAUGCAUUUUUUUUUUCAGCACAGUCAUCUCCAUUAGCUAUUCGUUUUCACCAGCAAUAAGCAAGAGCCUGCAUGCCAUGCCUGUAAAAAUCUGCAUGGCUGUCUGGAAUGUGUCUUGCCUUUCAAAUCACUGUCUCCACUGCUGAAAUGCACCACCUACCACUCACUGUGCUCACAUCCACUGUCUGGUCCUCAUAAACAUUCAGCAAAAGUUGAUGAAUAUCAAUGGGUGCAAAUUUUUCCACAUGGAGGAAUUCAGCGACACACCUUUGCUUUCUGUGCACUUCCACGUCAGAUGCCAUUGUGUCACACUGCCCCUCCACUGCCAUCUGUUGCAUGGCAACAACAUUGGUGAGAAUGUUCAACUUCUACUGUCACAUCACCAACAUCCACCUCUGAAAUCGUAAGCCAACAUAAUAAAAUAGGAGGCCAUACUUUUGGAACAUCCCUUGUAGAUAGGUGGUUACCAGUAUACUGAGGAAAUUGAUGUACUUGGUAGAAAAUCUGUCUGUUAAGAAAUAGGAAUGAAAAUUCAAUUAACAGACAUUUAACAUGGUUGGAACAGUGAAGUUGCUUUUGCAUUUAUCUGAAGAACAAUUAUAGGGGAAGUUGAUUGAGAAAGCAGUAAAUGCAACAGAGAACAGUUUACCAAAUGGGGGUGGGGAGAGGAAAGGGAGGGAAGAGGUUAAAUAAGAUCAGGGAAGUCACCCGAAUGACACACAGCCAUAGGUGUUAAGCAUACAGAUACUGAAUAAUUCUCUCCUUCUGAUGACUGUUUGAAAAUCAACUGAGGGAAGCUGUGGAAAUACUGAAAUAUGGAAGGUAAGGAAAUAUAAUGCUGCUUUUCUAUAAAUGGAAAGUAGACCAAUUCUAGUAAGACACAAGCUAUAUAUCUGGAUCCCAUUGUUCUCCAAAUGGUGGAGCCCACCGGGAGAUCCCUCCUUUGCCCUCUGUCUUUCUCAAGGAGAAAGGAAGGAGUACCUCUGCCUUUGAAGACCAAGCUUCCAUUCAGUGAUGCAUAAGCUUUGGUGUAAGUGCUUACUUGGAUCUACCCCCUUGAGAAUAAUUUCUGAGUAUCUCAACCCAGGCUCUUGGCAAUGGAAAAGAAACACGCGGAUACACAGGAGGAAGAGAUGAAUGGGAUAUAAAUACUAUUUUGCUUGAUUUUGAACAUCUAAGAUUAGCACAGAAAAUGCAGAUGAUUUGAAAACUCAUGGAGUGAAAAUAUAGUGGUACAGCACAUCACAGUUUCAAGAGUAAAGCUAAAAAUCUGCAGCAAUAUUAAAAAAAAAAAAAAAAGAAAGAGCAAAAAUAAAAAUAACCCAAUUCUUCAGGCAGGAUGCCAUUGAUUUUGUGUUCUGUAUGCUGAAUAAACAGGGGAGAUACAACAGAAAUCAUGAGAUUCAUCUGCUAUUUUUAAUAUACAGCAAUGAAUUUUCAUCCUUAAAGUGCCCCAGUGGGGGGUAGAUAUGAAUGUGGAAUAAAGGGAUGCACAGAUAUUCAGAAUGAUGAACAGCUCAACAAAAACAUGCAAUCUACUGGCAUUAUGAAAAAUAUCAGGAUAUUAUUAAUUGUGGUAAUUUUUUCCUGUUUCAAGAGAGAGCUCUUCUCUAUUGGGAAUGUAAAUAUCCUCACUGCAGCUUUAUUAAAGGGUUUCAUAAACUAAGUUUCAUUAAAGGGAAGAUCUGCAGCAUUUCAUCAUGCCUCUAAUGUCUCGUUUGGACAGAUCUGCUCCUUGAUCUAAGCUUCUGAUACUUUUAUAUACCUGAUUCAGGGAAGCAUUUGUUUAUUCAGAAGUAACCCUUAGUAUUAACUGUAGACAUAAGCGAUUUUCUAAAUGGGAGAGGCCUCAAAGAUGUAUUUAAAUUCUUGCUUGGCUCUGGGGUUGCUUGCAGCCCUUUCUGGUGCUGUGAGACAAAACAACUGUCUCUAUUACUGAGGUGUGAGCUGUGGACUGUCAUAAUUUUAGCUGGAGGUGCCCUUCACACUUAUAUUCUGAAUACCCUUGCAUACCCGGAGCCCAGAGCUAAUGGAACCUAGCCUUUACUAGGUUUGUUUCCUUUUCUUUUCACCUAAGGGUGUAUGAAAAAAAAAAAAAAAAAAAAAAAAAAAGCAUGCAUACAUAUUUUUUGAUUGGCUAUUGAAGAAAAGUAAGUAUGUAUAGGUCUGUCUUGGGAGCAACUACGUGUUGAGGGAAUAGCGCUGUUCUCAGGAGGAGACUUUCAUUCCGUAGUGCUCUGCUCCCAUGGAGUAACAGAACUGACCUCUGCUGAGCCAGAUUUCCCUGCCUUGAAUUCCAAAUUCCCCUUCCUUGAAACCAGUAGCAAAACCCACUGGGUAUAUCAACCAGCAUGCAUGCAAAAUAAUUUAUACCAGGUGAGUAAGAUCAGGUACUUCUACUUAUUGUAGCACUCAUUGAAAGAGCAUUUCUCCUAGUAUCUCAUCAUAUUUUGCUUCUGAUCUUCUUUUUGUAAUUAUUUUGUCCUUUAAUUUUUGUCCCUUGUGCUAUAAAGUGGUUUGUGGGAUAUUUCUUGUGGCUGCUUUUUACUUUUCACAGCAACUCAGUAUGCAAGAAGGUUUAAAAAUAUUCCCUUUAAAAUGAAUUCCAAAUGAAAUUCGUCUUCAGCAAUUUGACUGUUGGAAAUGAGUACAUCGUGUUACAAGAGGAAUUCUUUCUUGUUAGCUGAUUAGAUGGUAAAGCAUUUCACACAGUCAAACUGAGUUGUGAAUCUUCUUCCCAUAUAAGCUCUGCCACUGCUUUUCUGUGAUUGCUUUGGGCAAGUCAUGUUGCUUCUCAAUGCCCUUUUUAACUUUUGAUGUGUUUUGCCUGUAAUGUCUAUUUAGGUUGUAAUUUCUGAGGGCCAUACAUUGUUAGUUUUUUUACCUUAGAGAUGUUACACACAUACAUACCCUUCCGCUUCCUUCAGAAGAGUGAAGAGGAACCAUAAGGCAGACUGCUUAAAAUUGCCUAUCUCAGGCUUCCUUACACUGCUGACAUCAAACUUUCACAGCAGGUUUUAUUCCAAAGGAAGGCAAUCAAUAUUUCUGCUUACCUUGCAUGGAGCAAAUGAAAGAUUUAUCACAAAGAAUCUGCUAAUCUACAUCAAAUAUCCUAUUUUUCAGUUUUACUUCUGUCUGUGAUAUCCCUUUCUUAUGGAAUCACAAAUGUGGAGAAAAAGAAGCUUAAUCUAUCCUUUGGUAUCCUGAUCUGUUGGAACCCCCCUAAAACGUAUGAGGACAGAUUGGAGUGAAAAGGAAGCUGUAUCUUAUUGGUGCUAAACUAGCAUAACAUUCCCGAAUGGUUUUUUUCGCAACUAAAAUGCAGUGGAGGAUGUGGAGUCCAAUCUAGAGGACAAAAUUCACCCCCAUUGGCAAGCUGGUGAAUGCCAAAACUCUCUGCUCUCUUGAGGCACCGCCUGCGUCAGGAGGAGGUAAGGGACGUUGCUGUCAGAUUAGGCUGACAUCUGCUGGGGAGAGCCCCAAGGCAGGGAGGCAGUGGAGGCCCAGGCUACCAGCCCAGCUGAUUGAAGGCCAACCCUGCUCUGAGGCUCAGAGCAGGCUGGGGGAACCCACCUGUGGGGUAUGGGGUCCUCCUGCUGCAGAAGACUGGACCCUGGCAGCCAUGCAGACAAGUUCAGGGAAGGGGGACACCUCUGCUUUUGUCUCUCCUUUUUCUCUAAUUUCCCUUCCACUUGCCAUCUCUUGUUCUCCUUGAAGUGUUUCUCCCUCAGCCACAGGAAACCUCACCCACUCUACCUAUUUUUGCCCACUGGCAUGUGGGCAGGUAUACCUGCCCUGUAUGCCUUAGCUCAGCACUGCAUCAUGGAGCAAGCACUUUUGUUCAGAGCUCUUUUUAAAGGUAAUAAUAAUAAUAAUAAUAAAAAAAAAAGAGAGAGAGAGAGAAAAAAAAAAGAAAAAGAAAAAAAAGAAAGAGAGAAGAAAAGAAACACGCACUCUGAAGCCUGAAUAGCAGUGUUUCUGUCAUCUGUUGUCAUGACACACAGCUGACGUGGGAACACGACAGUAAGGUUGACUGCUAGAUGGGUUUAAUUUUGGUGCAGAAAUUUGCUAGAAGAAGCUUUCAAAAAUAUCUCUGGGUGGGAGGAAAACAGGUGGGUGCUGGUUGUGUGUACGUAGCAGGAGGAAAUAGUUGUCAAUCUUACCCAAGCAUUACUCCACAUCCAUCAGCCCUUUGGUACCCUCUCUACUCAAUGAGGGAAACAAGUGAUGCUGUAUCUCGUUGUUCCUCUCUCCUGCUACUUUUGGAGAAAGUGCUGGUGGAACAGAGUGCAGAGAGAGAACAUAGAAUGAUUGAAUAGCAACAUGGUUGGCUUGGUCAAAGUACACAUUGUUUGCUCUAUCUUGGUAAAGACAUCCGUACUCAGCACAGGAAGACAAUGUCAGUAUCAUCCAUUGAAGCCAAAUAAUGGUGAGAUCCUUUCAGGAGAGACUUGUGGGCAACUGAGUCUGAAAUGACAGCUAAUGUUGGAGAAUGGCCCUCAUGGUGAGUAGUGAAUGAUCUGUAGGAAAACCGAGAUGUAGUUUCUGUGGUUGUGGUUGUCCAUCUGGGUGAGUGAGUGGACUCAGUAUCAUGGGUGGACUUCUCAGCACUGUGUUUUCAUUUCCCAUACACAUCUUUGUUUCAAAAAGGUCUCAUUUUUCCCCUUCAGUAUCUGUAGGCAAUUCAUACUGGCUUCUAGAUGUUCCUAAGCAGUCACAGACUUUGCUGGCUACCAAAGAACGUAGGUGUCCAGAAAUAUUCUCUAAAAAUCACUCUGCUAACCCAUUUGAAGCUCAUUUUCCUCUUCUACAAACUACUCUAUAUUAGCACAUUUCUCAUCUCUUAGUCUUUGUCAUCUUGACUAAUGACUUUACUCAUCUGUACUAGUUUACUCACUCGUUUCAAUACUUUGCUAGAUCACAGGAACAUUUUGUGACUUAAUUAAAUUAUCAGUUAGAGCUCAGAGGUCUUUGAAUGAAAACUGUUAUGUUCUGUAACAGCAGAAUACUAUGAUUACAGUUCUGGAAAACAUACUACAGUGUAGAGACUUCAUUUCUCUUUCAUAUUUGCUGUUUGGACAUUGGCAGAAGUGAUGGUGGUGAGACUGGAGCUGAAGACUCCAACCUCAACUCUGAGCAAAAAGCUUGGAAAAAAAACCAUUGUUUGAGACAGAGAAGAUUGAAAGAAAACCAUUGCAAAUCAUUUGUAUGAACUGAUAAAAGCAGGGAAGGAAGAGAAAGAGCUUUGGAGAGGAGACGUGGAGGAAGAGGACACAAGUCUGUGUGAGCAAGAGAGUAGUUCAUGUUUCUUGUGAACUAUAGAUUCUACCUGAUGUGGUCAUAAUCCAAUGGGAAACUAUAGCGUUUCCUUUAAUCUCAUUCUCAUUGUGUCUUAACUUUGUCUGAAAAUCUGAUUUGACCCAUAUCAUGGCUGUAUUCUCAGUAUGUCAAAUGCCUCCUUUCUGCCCCCUACUAGAAGCCCCAUUUGAGAAGCUUUGUUAAAUGGAAAAUGUAUUAUCAGUGAUUCCCUUGCAUCUUUGUUGUUUGUUUGUUUGUUUGUUUCAUUCCCCUCCAUUUGUAAUCCUCACAUUCUUCUUUCUGUUUGUAGCCUCUGCUCUGUAUAUUCCAUGACGUGCUCAAAAAUUCUGAAUAAUUUCCACUGUGAAUUCUAAAAACGAUUUACCAUUUCCAGAAAGCGGCAGCAACAAUCAGUCUCUUAUGCAGAUUGCCACCUUGUUGCUACUUGCCAAACUGUCUCAUAUUUCUCACAGCUCACAACUGGUACACCCUGGGACUCCUGACCUUCCUUCUGGAAGUGUGCAAGCCAUUACCGUAUACAUUUAUGCUGGCUGAAGUAGCUGUUGAUUUUAUGUAGGCUAGGAGGUGUUGACCCAGCUCCUUACCAAACUCCCCCUUCUACUUAGUCCAGGACACAUCCAUCUGGUUCAGCCAUCAGAAGAUCCGUUUGCUGUUCAGUGACAACUUUGAAAGGAAGUCUAUACUUGGUGGGUGACUUUGGAGCUAUUGGGUAAAACUUCAACUAGCUACAGCAUGUCCAUGAUACCCUCCUUCUUGCACAUGGAGUGGUGGCAGGGGAAAAAAUGGAGAAUGAGAAUUCUUUUCCUGUUGUCCUGUCACAGUUUUUCCUUUCCCUUUCCCUUUCUUUUCCUUUUUUUUUUUCUCUUUUUUUUCCUUUUCCUUUUCUAUCACUUAAAUUCCAGGGCACUGGGAAAAAAAUUAGUUUGAGGUUUGACAAUGCGGAAAUAAUUAUAUGAGAAAAUAUAAGCGUUGGCUUUAGUGGAAAUCUAGCUUACUAUGCUAAACAAAGACAUUCAUUUUCCCUUCCUCCUAGUUCUCACACUUCAAAUAAUUUUUUCUAGCCACCUUGAAAGGGCAGCUUUUGCAGUAGCAUUCUUCCUACAUAAACAGCCCUUUAUUUAUAUAAACAUCUCUGUCUUUAGUUGAAAGGUUGCUUUCCAGCGUGCAAAUAGCAGCUAUGCCCUUUCAGGCAGAAUACCCUAAACAAGAAAUGUCUCAAUUACACUUUAAAAAAUUGUGUUUUCUUUGUAGACUCUCCUCUCCUCUGCCUGCUCCAGACUGAAGGUAAAAUGACUGCAUGUCUGAAGACAGCAGAUGUCUCAGAGAUGUAAAUGUUCAGCACUCCUGAAUCAAAGCCACAGCAUAACUGAAUACACUACUGUAUAAAGAAAAUAUUGACUGUCUUUGUAUUUGUUUGCUUUCUGUGUAGGGGUAGAAAAUACUAGUAAUGUUUAAACACCUCUUUAGAGUCAUUACAAGAUAUUGUGCAAAUAUAGUAAAUUUUCCCCAGUAAGCAGGCAUGAAAUAUACAUUUGCUUAUCAGAACGAAACAGUUCCAGGGGAGGCCUUGAUGUCUGUCAGGUGAAUCAUCUAAUCUUCAGUUUUAAUAUAUUGAACUGGGUAAAUAAGUCACUUUUUAGAGGUGUCUAAAUAUACAUUUCCCCGAGAGAGCUUUUUCACUCUCUAGAGUAAGCAAAUCAUGCUUAUAUAAAGAUUUUUUUUUUCUUAUUUAAAAGGUGUGGUUACCUGAGUAAAUAGUUGCAGCAUAAGUACUUACUGUACGUACCAAACAUACUUGAUUACAUGCAUUUGUCUCUGUAAUAAUACCUAUUGCCAAGCUACAUCAGCUGCUCAGGAUUUAAUAAUCAGUUGUAAGAUAUUUCCCCCUCCCACUUAGGAAAGAAAGCAAAGGAAAAAGAAUCCAGAUACAAAUUUCACAAUCAGCAAAAUUGCCAUACCUCUUAGGAAUUUUAAAGGUAUAACAUAACCUGACAAAAAACAGGAAAUUAAAAUGCAAAACCAGUGCUGUGUCCUUAACUCACCCUUUUGUGCUUUUUCUUAUUACCAUGCAGAAGAACACAGCCAUUUCUUCUGUGAAUCUUUGCAACACUAUGCUUCCCUGAUGAAUUUUCAAAAUGACUUAUUCUUGCUGUUAGUUAUCUCCAGAACUGUUAUGGUAGGUCAUCUAGUACAUCACUUCCAAAGUGCAAUUAAUCCCUACUGCACAUUUACAAGGGCUUAUCCUGCCUAAUGUAAGUGUCCUGUGUGACCUUCUUUUUCUCUUUGCUUCACUACUGAGUUAUUUUUAGGGCUUGAAAUAUAUAUUUUUAAUCAGUUUUAAUCAGGAUUUUUCUCCUGAUUUCUUUAAUUUUGUAACAUAAACAGGUGUUUGGUCUUUCCUUUCAGUUGCUUAGUAUCCUUCACUGUAUUUUCUUCUCUUCUGCCAAAACAGUAUCUGGGAGUAUUGUCCUCCUCCUCAUCUGUUUGGGGCUUAGCUUCUCAGCUCCCUUUUGCAUGUGAGUCCUUGGCAUCUAGCUCCCUCUCACAGGGCUGUUCUUCACUGCUGUAUUGGGAGUGCUAUGUCCUCUGUUUGUCAGCCUGGCCAGGCUCCCUCAAUUUCCAGCCCCAAAAGCUUUAAUGUUGAAGCACUGCCAAAAUUUAUUUAGGAAGUGUUUUAAAGCUAGGUGCUGUCCUUCUCUUCUUGCCUUUCUUUGCAACUCCCACCUUGAGGAUUUUGCCUGAAUUUGAAAACCAUCUUGAAGACUUCAGUAGAAAGUGCAUGUCUCAGGUUCUUAUCCCAUUUUAUUUUCUCUGAAAACCACCCAGACCAUUUGGCCUUUGUAGUUUCUCCCUGAGGCAGGGCAUCUAAAUUACACCAAGCCUCAUUCACCAGGGUGCCUGAUGAGCACUGUCUGACAUUGCUCCUGCCUGAUCUGGGCUCUUCACAUGAAACAAAUGAGAUUCAUUUUGGCUGUGACUUGUGCUAAUAAUGUAUCUAUACAGAAAUUACUAGGGGAUGCUAUGGUUUGCAUGUACUGAGCUAGAUGCAGAUGCCCUGGAAAGAUCAUGCAUGGCAGAGUCUCACAUUGUCAUGUAAGAGCUAGAUUAUAAGAGUUUUUGUUUUGCUCAUUUUGUUUUGUAGCCACUCGGCUGGGUCAGGUUUUCUCAAUUAAGCACGUGAUUCACCAGUCCUCUCUGUGUUCUCAGUGGUUUUCUUUCCUAACAUUUAACUUUUGCUAAUGCGAGGAGGGAGAAUACCUAUCUGCAGAACUUUUAUUUUCACUCAUGGGAUUUGUACAAUAAUUAAUGUGUGAGAAGCACUAGUGGGAACUUAUUUAUUAAAGGUAAGUAGCAGUAUGACUUCGUACAGCCUAUUGCCAAGAAACAGAUGAUAGCACAUUGCUGUAUUAUCUACUCUGCUGUUAUGAAUCUGGGAAUAAACUACAACAUCUUCUAACAGCCUUUAGCAUUUCCUUUGUUUUAUUUCCCUUACCUUUAACCAUAAUGCAAAGGAAGGAACUGCUUGUUAGCUUUGCCUAGUGUAUUGUUCAUAGCAAUUCUGCACAGUUUUGCUGGCAUCCAGAGGAUUGAAACAGGCACAGACUGUUUUUGGAGGCUGAGUUAGAGUGGAAUAAAGCUCUCAUCCCAGAUUUUGUCUGAUUCUGAAAGGAAGUAGCUGGUGAUCCUCUGCUGGUUUAUAUGCAAAGGAUUUUUUUGCUUGAACUCCUUGAUUGCAUUGAUAGUACAAAUAUUUACAUGAUAAGUACAAACAUUUAUAUUGUUAUUAGUAGUAGUAUGAGAAAAGAAAAGCAAAUGAACUGUUACCUUUUUUACUUAGAGACCAGGAGAUCUUUUAUUCUGUUUGUAUAGGUCUUGCAUCAUUUGCUGGUCAAUUAUGAGCAUUUCCUUCAUUGUCUACUCAUUGUGAAGAAUAGCAGUGCCCCAUUCUGCAGGUUCUGAAGCCGUACUCCAUCUUCUCAGCACCACUGGAACACCUCUUCACUUGUGCACUUCACAAAUUGCUGCAUGCCCUGCCAUCACAGAGUUAAUUUAACCAGCUGUUAAAAUGACUGUUAUAUUAGUAUUUUUCACCUAUGUGGUAUUACUUAAAAAGCUGAUGAUUAAAAAGAAGGUGAAAGAACAGGCUGAAAUAGUAAUUCACAGUGCAAAAAUGAUGAAGUGAUGAAGAAAUUAUAGCUUGUGAAGCCCAAAAAAGCCAAUCAGACCACCUACUGGACUUGUGACAGUUUCAUUAAGAUGAGAGACUGAAGAGAGAGAAAGAUGAUUGGGUUUUAAAAAUUGGUCUCCUGACAUGGGGGAUGCGGAGAAGCUGGGUUUGCA
ensembl:lncRNA